CUCCCGGGGCCGGGCCGCCGAUGCGAGCUCGUCGAGGGACUGCGCACUCUGAGCGAGCGGCGGGGCGGAGCAGACCUGUCCGACCUGGCGGCCCCGCCUCCCGGCUCCGGCCCCGGGCUGCUCACCUCUGCCCGCCGACGGAGCACGAGUGUGAAGCUUUAAAGGAAUGGGGCCUGGAGGCAAGAGAGAGGGGAUAGGAAGAGGAAGACUGAAGCUAAAACGGAAUACAGAGAAGCAGGAGAACCGUCCGAACCAUAAUCAAAAAGACGACCUUUGAGCUUUACCUGGCAGUUGAAUUGUACUACUUUGAAACUAGAAAAAGAUCUCCGUGACACUCGGGGGAUGACAAAUUCGUUUGUUCUUUCUAAUUGUUCUCAGUUCUUUCUCCCCCUUUUUAAUAAGCAUUUUUAUCGCUUGAAGAUGUUAGAAAAGUUGUUCCCAUAGAGCCAAAUGCUGGAAACUGAGAUUAUUCCGGUUUUGAUUAAUAUUAGAGAACAAUGUUGAUGAGUCCUUCGAAAAUAUAGGGAAGUGGAAACGAAGGGCAAUAAUUUAUUUCAGUGCAAAUGGAUUCAAAUUACAUCACGCUAUUAUUAGUCUUAAAAUCAUUGUAAUGACUGGAAGCUUUUAAUAAACAUUCAAGUACUGUUUUUGAUGUUAGUUUUGUUAGCUGUAAUAUGAUUAUAAACUGUUUUUAAAAGCUUCUUUUCUGCUUAAGAAAUCAUCGAAGAGUUCAAAAGAGGAAAGGUGAAAAGUAAUUUUAAGAUUCAACUAAAUUUGAUUAAUUUUUACAUGUGUAUGUCAAGUCAAAAAUUAUGCUUUUAUUAAGUAAUAAUUUAAGUGUGCGGUACUCUCCUGUUGCCAGUUGGUUAAUGUAAAUAGUCACAUUGUUACGGUAAAUAUCUGUAUAAUUUGAAUUUUACUUGGACAUUACAUAAGCUAUUUAACUAUUUCGUUAUUGACUUCUUAAGGAAAUCUUAUCAGUGUAUUAAAUCUAAAUCUGAGUUGCUAGACCUACUUUUGGAAUUUUGUGAUCUGUUCAACAAUUUAUUUAAGUGAAAAGAGUAGUACUAUUAAAUCAGGAACAAGUUAUCAA